UUAAGUUCAGCGGGUAUUCCUACCUGAUCCGAGGUCAACCUUGUGAAAAUUAGGAGGUUUCACGGCUAAGAACCCGCCAUGAGCCACAGAAGCGAGGUGUAAACUACUACGCUCAGGGUCACAGCGACCUUGCCACUAUCUUUCAGGGCCUGCUGCAGGCAGCAGAAGCCCCAACACCAAGCACUACAGCGCUUGAGGGU
rnacentral:misc_RNA from 1 species